GGCGCUUCCCGCCUAAACGGCCGCCAGCAGCGGGCAGUCCCCGCGGCUUCCGGAGCGGAGCGAGGCGCUUUCUAGAACGCUCGAUGGGGGGGAAGGCGGUGAGGAGCCUUCGAGGAGAGAUGGCUCGUCCUGUCAGUCGAGGUUUCUGCGGCUCUGAGGGCUCUUCAUACAGUGAGGAGCUGAAGGAAGAACCCUUGUCCCUUCCUGUUCACCUUCCUAAGAUGCCUUCUGCUUGUGUAGAAACGUUGUGUCCAAGAAAGAACUCCUGAUGUUACGUUGUGCAGCUGUGGUACCACGUGUUCAGCGUGGGUAUAGAGGAGAUUGAAGAAGUAUGAAAGUAUGAAGUAUGAAACUUCAAAACCACGAUGAAUUUCGUAUUGCACUGGCACAUAUUCAGAAGUUCUUACAAGUAAUCUGUGAUUUAUCCAUGUAGUAAUACUGAAAUACAUGAAUAGUUGAAAAAGAUCAGAUAUAUGAAGUCCUGUCCGGUGGUCUGGAAAGGAAAAGGAAGAGGAAACCUGGAAAAAAACGUUGGGAGAUGUUUGUUGAUGCUCCAAGAUGCAAACAUCUGAUCCAAGUCACUCUGAAGAAAGAGUUGAGACAGAAGAGAAAAGGAUUAAUGCAUGUAACCUUUGCUACAGUCAGUAACGGAGCCCUAAACUGCAUUAUAAUUUCUGAUGCUGUCCGUUGCA